GACGAACGCUGGCGGCGUGCCUAAUACAUGCAAGUAGAACGCUGAAGGAGGAGCUUGCUUCUCUGGAUGAGUUGCGAACGGGUGAGUAACGCGUAGGUAACCUGCCUGGUAGCGGGGGAUAACUAUUGGAAACGAUAGCUAAUACCGCAUAAGAGUAGAUGUUGCAUGACAUUUGCUUAAAAGGUGCAAUUGCAUCACUACCAGAUGGACCUGCGUUGUAUUAGCUAGUUGGUGGGGUAACGGCUCACCAAGGCGACGGUACAUAGCCGACCUGAGAGGGUGAUCGGCCACACUGGGACUGAGACACGGCCCAGACUCCUACGGGAGGCAGCAGUAGGGAAUCUUCGGCAAUGGACGGAAGUCUGACCGAGCAACGCCGCGUGAGUGAAGAAGGUUUUCGGAUCGUAAAGCUCUGUUGUAAGAGAAGAACGAGUGUGAGAGUGGAAAGUUCACACUGUGACGGUAUCUUACCAGAAAGGGACGGCUAACUACGUG
rnacentral:rRNA from 1 species